GUCACUUCUUGGCCUUUUGGCUAAGAUCAAGUGCAGUGUCUGUUCUUGGAAUCUCAUAUUCACCAGGCACUUCCUGGCAAUCCACACACGCCCA
rnacentral:snRNA from 1 species